rnacentral:rRNA from 1 species
GAUGAACGCUGGCGGCGUGCCUAAUACAUGCAAGUCGAGCGAACGGACGAGAAGCUUGCUUCUCUGAUGUUAGCGGCGGACGGGUGAGUAACACGUGGAUAACCUACCUAUAAGACUGGGAUAACUUCGGGAAACCGGAGCUAAUACCGGAUAAUAUUUUGAACCGCAUGGUUCAAAAGUGAAAGACGGUCGUGCGGUCACUUAUAGAUGGAUCCGCGCUGCAUUAGCUAGUUGGUAAGGUAACGGCUUACCAAGGCAACGAUGCAUAGCCGACCUGAGAGGGUGAUCGGCCACACUGGAACUGGGACACGGUCCAGACUCCUACGGGAGGCAGCAGUCGGGAAUCUUCCGCAAUGGGCGAAAGCCUGACGGAGCAACGCCGCGUGAGUGAUGAAGGUCUUCGGAUCGUAAAACUCUGUUAUUAGGGAAGAACCUAUGUGUAAGUAACUGUGCACAUCUUGACGGUACCUAAUCAGAAAGCCACGGCUAACUACGUG